CAUUACCGAGUUUUCAACUCCCAAACCCCUGUGAACAUACCAUUUUGUUGCCUCGGCGGUGCCUGUUCCGACAGCCCGCCAGAGGACCCCAAACCCAAACUUCCUUGAGUGAGUCUUCUGAGUAACCGAUUAAAUCAAUCAAAACUUUCAACAACGGAUCUCUUGGUUCUGGCAUCGAUGAAGAACGCAGCGAAAUGCGAUAAGUAAUGUGAAUUGCAGAAUUCAGUGAAUCAUCGAAUCUUUGAACGCACAUUGCGCCCGCCAGUAUUCUGGCGGGCAUGCCUGUUCGAGCGUCAUUACAUCCCUCAAGCCCCCGGGCUUGGUGUUGGGGAUCGGCGAGCCUCAGCGCCCGCCGUCCCCUAAAUUUAGUGGCGGUCACGCUGUAACUUCCUCUGCGUAGUAGCACACUUAGCACUGGGAAACAGCGCGGGGSCACGCCRUAAAACCCCCCAACUUUUGAACGUUUGACCUCGAAUCAGGUAGGACUACCCGCUGAACUUAAGCAUAUCAAUAAGCGGAGGAAGGAC
rnacentral:rRNA from 1 species